CCUACGGGAGGCAGCAGUGGGGAAUAUUGCGCAAUGGGGGAAACCCUGACGCAGCAACGCCGCGUGAGUGAGGAAGGACUUCGGUCUGUAAAGCUCUGUUAAUGAGGAAAAAUGGUAGUUGGUCUAAUAGGCCGAUUAUUUGAUGGUACUCAUAGAGGAAGCACCGGCUAACUUCGUGCCAGCAGCCGCGGUAAUACGAAGGGUGCAAGCGUUGUUCGGAUUUAUUGGGCGUAAAGCGCGCGUAGGCGGACCUGCAAGUCAGAUGUGAAAUCUCGAGGCUCAACCUCGAAACUGCGUCUGAAACUACAGGUCUAGAAUCUCGGAGGGGGAAGGGGAAUUUCGCAUGUAGGGGUAAAAUCCGUAGAUAUGCGAAGGAACACCAGAGGCGAAGGCGCCUUCCUGGACGAGUAUUGACGCUGAGGCGCGAAAGCGUGGGGAUCAAACAGGAUUAGAUACCCUGGUAGUCCACGCUGUAAACGAUGAACACUAGGUAUUGGAGGAUUUGACCCCUUCAGUGCCGUAGCUAACGCGUUAAGUGUUCCGCCUGGGAAGUACGGUCGCAAGCUUAAACUCAAAGGAUUGACGGNNGNGAGNGCGAGCGACACGAGGAGAGG
rnacentral:rRNA from 1 species